UUUAGUAGAACUCUGUAUUUUGUUUCUUCUUAACUGUUAUCUAGACUCCAGAUGUAAGAUGGAGUUGACGCCGAACAGUAAAAGUUCCUUUUUAGCUUACUGAAAUUGCCCAUCCUUCAACCUUGUAAGCGCUUAAGAGUCAGUCCUGUUAUGAUAUGGUUUUCAAAUCCAUCAUUUUGGACUUGUACGUGCACGUUUGGGAGUGAUCUUAAAUUUGUUAAGAUCGGCUUGAAGAAACUAACUCUUAAUUACUAAAGAUCAAUUCAAUGUUCAUUUCACACAUUUAAAUGCAAUUUUCAUGCUAUUGAUAUUGAUUUUGAAUGAUCAAAAGGUUGAUAAAAGAGAUUUUAUGUUACUUUUCCUUUUAGCAAGUUCACGGGUUCAGGUUGAUUCUAAUGAGAUUAUUAUUAUUCUUCCCCCCCUCCCGCGUAGAUUCUGGAGUUUGCGCGCAAUGGUGACAAGAGCGUGGCAGAAUUGAUGGAAUUGGGACCGAAACUCUUAGGAAGGUUUGAUGAAAUUCUUUUAUUUUAUUUUGCUAUGAUACUGUUGAAUAUUGUAUUACGUUUAUAUGAACCUACUUAUUAUUAAAAGCUAUAGAAUUUUAAUAACUUUCUUCGUGACAGGAGACAAGUUCUUCCAGCUGUUCCCCAUCUUGUGGAUUCUGUGCAGGUAUUGUACUACCAAGUGCCAAGUAUUGUUUUGAAGUCUUCUAUAAAUUCAAAUUCCAAAUUAUCUGCAAAAGUAGUACGGGAAUCGUUAAAUAUCUUGCAUAAUGCCGAUAUUGAUAUUGUAGGUUGAAGGAACUUUUCCUGAUGGGACUAAGUUAGUCACAGUUCAUAAUCCCUUUGAAGAAGAAAAUGGGAACCUAGAACUCGCAUUGGAGGGUUCUUUUCUUCCAGGUGGAUCUCACUUUCACAAAGUUUUUGACUUACAUUCUGUUGGAUAUAUUUAUUAUUCUGUCUUCUAGGUUCCAUACGACUCCAAUAAAAAAUCCUCACGAUUUCUGAUUUUCUGAUUUCCUGCUAUAAACCUUUGCUCUUAAUUCCCUGCUGAUUAAGAACGAAUUGUUUUUUUUUUUUUUGGUUAAAUUACAAGUUUAAUUAUUGAUGUUUCUAGAUUGUGUUUAAUAGGUAUCUGAAAUUUAAAAAUAUGUAAUAGGUAUGUGAGUGGAUCACCUUUUCUUCUUUCUUAAGCCGAGAGUCCAACAAUCAGCUAAUCCUCCCUUUUUAGUUUGGUCAUGAAGGUUGGACGUACAUCUUGUCAACUUUUUUAAUUUGGUUUGGUGCCUUCUGAAGAGAGUGGAAGAUGUUUUUUUUAAUGGCUUUCCAGUUGGUGGUUCAAAAAGCUAGCAAAAGUCUUGUGCCGUAAUGAAAGUAAAUAGAAUAUGGUUCUCAAAUAAGGCCUCUACUUUUUUUUUCCUGUGAAACUGUACAGUACCCAACCUCUUUUUGUUGUGCUUUACCCAGUUCAUUUUUCAAUACUUGAUAUUCUCUCGUUUGUAUAGGCUGGAAGCCCUUCCUUUUUUUAUCCCUUUUUCUAGGCUUAGGAGCUCUCAUCCCAAAGGCCUUUUGAGGUUUGCUCUCUUUUGGUGUUGGGUCUUUCUUCCUUAAAAAAACAUAUGGGAGCUUUCAUUUUUGUCUAGUAAGUCCCAGACUGGGUUUUUUGAAAGAUUAUUAGAUGCAUUAGAUACAAAAUUGAAAGGUGUGAGUUCUAUUAGCAAUACUAACUUAGGGGUGUUUGGGGUAAGGAGUGAGUUAUUAUGGUCCUAGGUUGUUAUAGUUGAGUUAUAAUGGUUUGUGUUUGGGGUGUAAGAUUAUUUUAGUUUGAGAAGAAAAUAGUAAACGUUGUAGCAAUGAAUAAAAAAAUGAUGAAUAUUGAAUAGUAAAAACUGUAGCAAAUGGAGAGUUUUAAAAUAGUGUUUACUGUAGCUAAUUGGAGAUUUUAAACAGUAUCUACUGUAGCUAGAGGUAGUUAUAAUAUUCUUACAUAAUCCUCGCCCCCAAUGGCCUCUUAAUUUUGUAUCUCACAAGUUCUUGACUUUCAAAAAAUGACAAAUGGAUUAGGGAGCUGUUGAAUAAAAUAUUCAAAGUUUGGAGACCUAUUAGAUAUAAAAUUGAAAGUUCAAAAUCUGUUCAAACACUUCAAAGACUCAAUAGUUACAAGUUAAAAAUUCAAAAACUUAUUUAGAACAAUUAUGUAAGUGUAGGUACUAAAUCUGUAAUUUAACAACUUAGUUUUUAUGGCCAUUUUAAUAUAUUUGUUCUUCUACAAUCCAGUAUAUCAAAUUUACUUCUAGUAUAUCUAAUUUACUUCUUGUUGAACCAUUCAAAUAAACUUGUGGUUGUUUAUUACUAAUAACACGUGCCGGCCUUGUUUCCUACCCCUUUACUCCAAUUUUUUUUUGUCCUUUCUCCGUUCAGUUUUAUCAGCUUUAAUAAACAAACAAUAUUAGUGGAAAUUCUUACCAAAACUGGAAUGAUGGUAUAACAUUUUAACUAUACCCUUGAUUUUUGCUUCUCACAUGUCAUUUAAAGGUUCAAAUGCUCUUUGUAAACUUGUAGUGUUCUACAGUGUUUUACUAACUUGAGUGUUGUGUAUUGUUAAGUAUAAUAUGAAACUGCUUGCGAGUAAAAUUUAGCAUAGCAGCCCUAGCACUUUCGUUACUCAUAGCGUUUUAGGUGGUUUUUUUUAUGGAAUGUGGUUUUUCUCUCCAUAUAUUUUAGUUGAUUUAAUUGCAAAAGAAUUGUUUUGCAGUUC
rnacentral:lncRNA from 1 species